rnacentral:lncRNA from 1 species
AAUAAAGAUGUCUACGGCACCCUAGGAAACGACACUGAGACACAUGAACCAUACAUGCAGCCUUAUUCCUGGCCAGGCAAAACUAUACUUUCUGACUACCAGGCAAAAAAAAGUUCAGCAGAAAAGGCCGGUGUUGAAGGAAUAUUCCUGCCGCCAAAAAAGGUUUUAAAAUAUUACGAUGGCGAAAACCAUUGCGCAGUGUUCCUGCUACGCGUAUAUGACAAACAACACUGCGAGCUCCACGUUUGGCAGAAGAAUAUUAAUAAAGAAGACCGUCUAUACAAUGUGAACGAAUCUUGCAUAAUGUCUUACAAAGAAAUCUGCGAUAACGGAAAUCCAUUGGUCAUUUUGUAUACAAAGAUCUGCGGCAACUGAAGAAAUGGGCCCCCACGCAUAUCGGGGGUUCUUGUCCUGGCCUUUCGUCGUGGUGUCGAAUACAAAUGCACUGCAAUAAAAGAUAUCUGCAUAAAUC